GCUUCCACCCCUCCAUCAGUCAGUAGAUAUUUACUGGAACCCUAGCGGUGAGAGCGCUCCCUGCUUCUCCCGGCGCAGCGGAAGGCUUUCGCUUCCUUCGAGAGCAGGCUCCAGGAAGUGGGCGGGGUUUUACGCCGGCCGGAAAGACAGUUCCAGAGGUGUCUUGCUCUGCGCCCGGGAGCGCAGGGUUUAGAGGCAGGGAAAAGCGAUCUGAAUGAGUGCAGGCUCCGUGUCUGUCUGGGGCUCCCAUGAAUUCCAUGAAUUCCACGCUUUUCCAGCUAGUGAUGGGUUUGUGAAAUUGUUACUUUUCUUCUUACUCCCUUGUGGCUGCCGCGUCUCCCUUCCAGUGCUGUUUAAAAGCAUCAGUUGCAGUUAGUUGUGACCAUGUGAUCGUGUUCUGGCAAACAGGAAGAAGAAGAAAAGGGGGAAGGAAAUAAUGAAGAAACGGCCAUUGCUCUGCCAUUUUUCUAUCAGCUUUAGCUGAAAAAAACUGCUUUGAUGUGCUUCAUUACAAGAAUUUUCUGUGCACUCCAACUCCCGUCAGCGAUUAUAAUGACUUCAGCAUUCAUGUGAAAGAUGCACCAGGUGUGUGGACUCUCAGUUCCUGGACCUUCUGGUUCCCAAAGACGUUGGACACUUGAGGUUAGCUAUCGCCUUCCACUGUUUUUAUCUUAAACUCUUAGUUUACCAAUACCUGAAACUACCUGGCCUCUAAAUGUCACAAGCGAAGGCCCAAAUCUAGAAGACACUCGUGUCCAAUGGUUUCCCAGAAAGCUAUCAUGUUUGAGCUGUGAUAUGAAGAGGUGAUGCGGCAACGAAUUGAGGGCAGCCUCUAGCCAAUAGCCAGUGAGGAACUGAGGCUCGUGGCCCAGCAGUCUGCAAAAGAAGUAUAUCCAGCCAACAACCAUGGGAAUGAGCUUGGAAGUAGAUCCUUCCUCGGUUGAACCCUGAGAUGAAUGAGGUCCUGGACAACAUCUUUCAAGAUGCCCAGAGUCAGAGGUACCUAGCUAAGUGUCCCCAGAUGCCUGACCCACAGAAACUGUGAGACGAAGUUGUUUUUUAAGCCAUUAAGCUUUGUUAUUAAGCAAUGGAUAAAAGAUGCCAUGUCUACGGCCAAAAAAGAAAAUCAUCCAUUUCUUUGGAAACUGACAUGAACGCUGGGAACUAAUGUUGAGCAAUUAGGUGAUUGUUAAGUUGGAAGUAACAAUAGUCUCUAAGAAAAAGAGAGAAAAUAGCUAAAAGGUGGACCAUAUACCCCGUAAUACACCCAUGAAUGCAUCCACAUUUCUGCCUUCCCCAUAAAAGUGCUGUUAUUGCCAUUACUACUUAUGAUCACCCCCUAAGGACUUGCUGUUCUUGUCAAACAGUACGAUAUGUGUAGAAAGACUCUAAUGCAUUCUUUGAGGCUGCCUUCCAGAUUAUAUGAACAAUUUAAUAAUACCUAUUUCUUCCUGUUCUCAGCCUUCCCCUGCUCAGGCAAUUUUGGUUGGUAACAUUUUCAUCUCCUACCAGUAGAGUGUGGUGUGGUAGGAUUUCCCAAAUUCUCCCCACCACCCUUUUUUCCUGCUGUGGCCUCCAUAGACUGUGGUCAUAACACCACCAAACUGAUUAUGACAUAAAAGUCUAAUCUUACGCAGUUAUGGGCCAUUCAAAAGCAGGUCACUGUCAUUGACCUUUGUCCUUCCAUGCCUGGACUCCAUUGUUUCCACGUAGACAAUUCAGAUACUUGGUGUAUCGAUUCCAACCUUACCUUCAUAUUGGCUGGUAUUGUUUUUGAGGACUCAAAUGUCGCACAAUAGUAUAGCUAAACCACUUUAGACUCCAGUUAUUUGUGUCAUAGCAUAAGCGUGGUACCAGUUCAGUCAGUGGCAUCCAUAAAGCUUUGGUAGAAUGUAAAGAUGAACAACAUCUAUGAGUCACUUAUUCUCUUAGGGUCUCAGUUUACCGAUCUGUCAAAUAGGGGCAAUAAUCCUCUCUAUGGUUGUUGUGAGCACUGAGUGAGUUAAAUAUUCAAUCACUUAGAACAGUAUCUGGCCCAUAGGAAGUUCUCACUGUCAGCUGUAUAUACCAAAUGUAAACCUUCCCCAAACAGGGACGAUUAUAAACCAUCUCAAAAAGGUUCUCGUGCGCUAUAUUUCACCCUGUGGUGGCAAAAAAAAAACUGAGGAAGAAAUGGUGUAGGGUAUUUUACAGUAUUUUCAUUUUACAGAUGAAAAAACAGAGGUUUUAAAAAAUUAAAUAACCAGCAUCAAAUCUCAGCAGUGUCAGGGAUAAGACUGAAAUCUAGGUUUUCUUCUGAAAAAUUUGCUGAAGCUUUAUCUGCCUGUUCUAAAGAGGUAGAUAGGUACCCUUCUAUGCACUCAUCAUAUUGAAUGAGGAUUCAGUGGGUUGUGAUUUUUCUGCCUCUCUCCAGUAUAGAGCCAGGACAAGGUGGGGGUAUGAUGGGAAUUUAGUGAAGAGUUGAGGUGAAUACAUGUAAAAGAAUUGCCACAAUAUAUGGACACCCCUUUGGACAAUCAUUAUUAGUUGCUCAAGCUUGGGAUGGUGCACUCUUUUUUUUCCUUUUGUUGUUAUUUAAUUAAUUUAUUUAUUUUCAGUAUCAGUAACACAGUAAUUUGUGGCCAGUGUUCAAGAAUGUUGAGAUAAUGAUGCUUCGGGACAGCAUCAUUAGUGACAGCAUCAUUAGCACUUCUCAGUGCUUUUUGAGGGUGUGGUUUUGUUUUAUGUGCGUUUUAAGAGUAAAAAAGUGUCUAGUCUAGUCUCACCAUUUGAUAGCAUGAAAUAAAGCCAUAAAGUGAAGCAUGAUGUAUACCUCAUGCUCUAUGGUAUUUGAAUGGUGUUUCUUGCUUUAACAUAAGCCAAAUAUACAAAAAUACAGUAACGCAAAAGAAAGUGCUCCUGCUAAUGGAAGUGAGCAAACCAUGUAUUAAUCAGUGAGUUAAACCCCUCUUUUUUUUUCACCUCACUCCCAUUUAAUGCAUCAUUGCCAAGAGUUCUGGAUAUCGUCCUAAUAAAAUAUCAGAAGGAUAUAAUGCAAAAAUAUCCAAAAACCUGUUUUUAUGUCUGGAUUGAGUGUCUUUUUAUACUUUACUUUUUUAUUUUUAUAGGAAUUGACUGUCAGCAGAGAGCUAUCAGGUCCUAGUGUUUAUCUAUAGUCCUGGUGAAAGUGCCGCCUGUCUACUUCUGGCUUGUGAGAGUUUCUUUCCUUUGGGGUGGUGGCUGGUGCCAGAAUGAGAGGAAAUAUCAUGCCCUCCGAGAGUCAAGAGCAGCUGGUGCAAUUGCCCUGGUGUUUAUGGGAUAUUAUAGGCAUAAAGGCACAUUUGGAACUGGUUGGGGAAAGAACUUAAUGCUUCUUUCUUUUAUCUUUAUAAUCCACUUUCCUAGCAAGGAUUAUCCUACCGUUCAUACUAAAUUUAGCAAAUGCAGAUUAAAAAAAAAAAAAAAAAGCUAGGCUGCCACAA